CCUACGGGGGGCAGCAGUGAGGAAUAUUGGUCAAUGGGCGCGAGCCUGAACCAGCCACGUAGCGUGAAGGAUGACUGCCCUACGGGUUGUAAACUUCUUUUAUAAGGGAAUAAAGUCAGGUACGUAUGCCUUUUUGUAUGUACUUUAUGAAUAAGGAUCGGCUCACUCCGUGCCAGCAGCCGCGGUAAUACGGAGGAUCGGAGAGUUAUCCGGAUUUAUUGGGUUUAAAGGGAGCGUAGAUGGGUUGUUAAGUCAGUUGUGAAAGUUUGCGGCUCAACCGUAAAAUUGCAAUUGAUACUGGCAGCCUUGAGUACAGUAGAGGUAGGUGGAAUUCGUGGUGUAGCGGUGAAAUGCGUAGAUAUCACGAAGAACUCCGAUUGCGAAGGCAGCCUACUGGACUGUAACUGACGUUGAUGCUCGAAAGUGUGGGUAUCAAACAGGAUUAGAUACCCCUGUAGUC
rnacentral:rRNA from 1 species